UUUUUGUAAUUUGCAAAAGCACCCAAUUAAUGCUCUUAUUUUCCUCAAAAAUUUAUGUUUACCAAUGUAUUAAUUGCAUGCAAUUAUUUAAUGCAUCUUGGAAUCUAAAAUUGUGAUGGGAACAACCAAAUUGAGCCUUAUAAAAUGGAAAAACUAUGAUUUUGAGAUAAGCCCUAUAAACCGGAAAGGAGGGAGUAUUAUCAGUAAUUGAUUUUUCUGGCAAGGGAAUGUUGAGAUGAUAGCUUGAGCCUCCGUGGCCACAUUUUGAAAAUUUGAAAAUUAUAUUUUAAAAAGUGGUAAACUACACACCGACCACCAAAUACAUAUCACAAUUGUAUCUGUUUGAUUCAUUUAGCUGUAUUAUUGUUUUGUUUGUGGAAACUGUCCUUUUCUCCAUUGGCAGACUUUGUACUGACCUUUGUUAAAAGACGGCGUAAGGGCGAGUUGUGGGGAUAUUGACGGCAAUAUCUGCAAGCAGAAAACUACUUCAUUCACCUACGCUUGAACUGGAAUUGCUAAUUAGAAAAUAUGCAUUUCAUGUGUCAUUUUGCCAUUGGGCUAAAUUAUGUUAAUUUUCAUCCGCUUCCCCCUCUCCGACCCCAUCCCACGAGGAGUAAGAUUCUGAGGAUGGAGGAUCUUUCUGCAACGUUCCUGAACUCAUCAAACACGAUCGGUGUUCCGCUUCGAUCUAACCAACAUGGUUAAUGGCAACUAAUGUGUUGUGCUAGGAAUUUGUGCUAUUUUUUUACCUCCCAUUGCAACGAAAAGGGGCAUGCUUACAUUUUACAGUGGAAAAAUAGGUUUUAUUAGGCAAGUGGAAAAAUAGAUGUCUAUAGUAGCUUUAGCUGGUA